ensembl:ncRNA Y53F4B.60 ncRNA
GGCAAGCCACGUGGCAAGCAUUUUCACUUGAUUUGCGUAGUCGGCCGAGAAGAAUUGCACUGAAAAUUAAAUAGAACUAGCAGGUUUAUGCGGCCGACAUCUUGCGGGUAUUAGACCGGCUAGCUGCGGCCGACACUGCACGGGCCAAAA